AAGAGAGGUAGAGGUCGCGAAUUUGAAAAAGUACAGCACUUGAAGGUCGAGCCUAGUGAAAGUGUUGGAAAGGUCAUAUUCGCCGAAGCGUGAAACAAACAUCGAUAUGUUACGCGCUGGGGCUGGGGCUGAAGAAGACCAGAACUGGCACAUAGAAAUAUGUGUUGUGCUAUCUUUUUU
rnacentral:ncRNA from 1 species